rnacentral:rRNA from 1 species
AAAAGGUGGCUAUGCUACCGCUUUUGGAUGGGCCCGCGGCGCAUUAGCUAGUUGGUGGGGUAAAGGCUUACCAAGGCAAUGAUGCGUAGCCGAACUGAGAGGUUGAUCGGCCACAUUGGGACUGAGACACGGCCCAAACUCCUACGGGAGGCAGCAGUAGGGAAUCUUCCACAAUGAGCGAAAGCCUGAUGGAGCAACGCCGCGUGGGUGAAGAAGGUCUUCGGAUCGUAAAACCCUGUUGUUAGAGAAGAAAGUGCGUGAGAGUAACUGUUCACGUUUCGACGGUAUCUAACCAGAAAGCCACGGCUAACUACGUGCCAGCAGCCGCGGUAAUACGUAGGUGGCAAGCGUUAUCCGGAUUUAUUGGGCGUAAAGGGAACGCAGGCGGUCUUUUAAGUCUGAUGUGAAAGCCUUCGGCUUAACCGGAGUAGUGCAUUGGAAACUGGGAGACUUGAGUGCAGAAGAGGAGAGUGGAACUCCAUGUGUAGCGGUGAAAUGCGUAGAUAUAUGGAAGAACACCAGUGGCGAAAGCGGCUCUCUGGUCUGUAACUGACGCUGAGGUUCGAAAGCGUGGGUAGCAAACAGGAUUAGAUACCCUGGUAGUCCACGCCGUAAACGAUGAAUGCUAAGUGUUGGAGGGUUUCCGCCCUUCA